rnacentral:lncRNA from 1 species
GAGAUCUUGCUCAAGGGGCUCUUAAUAUGCGUCAAGAUAUGCAGAACUCCCAGAACAUUGGUAUUGGAGUUCAACAACACAACUUAAUGCCACAAAACCGACCAGCUUUGGCUCAGUUGCCAUCUGAGAAGCUUGCUGAGAUGUCUCAAGAUCCACAACUGUUAAAUAUGAUUCGUCAAGAUCUGCAGAACUCCCAGAACAUUGGUAUUGGAUUUCAACAACACAACUUAAUGCCACAAAACCGACCAGCUUUGGCUCAGUUGCCACCUGAGAAGCUUGCCGAGAUAUCUCAAGAUCCACAAAUGUUAAAUAUGCUUCAGCAGCAAUAUCUUUUGUCACAACUACAGUUGCAGUCUCAGACACCUUUU